rnacentral:rRNA from 1 species
GAGUUUGAUCAUGGCUCAGGAUGAACGCUAGCGGCAGGCCUAACACAUGCAAGUCGAGGGGCAGCACAAAGAUAGUUUACUAUUUUGGUGGCGACCGGCGCACGGGUGAGUAACGCGUAUGCAACCUACCUUAUACAGGAGUAUAGCCCGAAGAAAUUCGGAUUAAUCCUCCAUAGUAUUUUCUAAUGGCAUCAUUUGGAAAAUUAAAGCUUCGGCGGUAUAAGAUGGGCAUGCGUCCUAUUAGCUAGAUGGUAAGGUAACGGCUUACCAUGGCAACGAUAGGUAGGGGGCCUGAGAGGGUGAUCCCCCACACUGGUACUGAGACACGGACCAGACUCCUACGGGAGGCAGCAGUGAGGAAUAUUGGGCAAUGGAGGCAACUCUGACCCAGCCAUGCCGCGUGCAGGAAGAAUGCCCUAUGGGUUGUAAACUGCUUUUAUUUAGGAAUAAACCCUUCUACGUGUAGAAGGCUGAAUGUACUAAACGAAUAAGCACCGGCUAACUCCGUGCCAGCAGCCGCGGUAAUACGGAGGGUGCAAGCGUUAUCCGGAAUCAUUGGGUUUAAAGGGUCCGCAGGCGGACGUAUAAGUCAGUGGUGAAAUCCUGCAGCUUAACUGCAGAACUGCCAUUGAUACUGUACGUCUUGAAUUCGGUCGAAGUGGGCGGAAUGUGUAGUGUAGCGGUGAAAUGCAUAGAUAUUACACAGAACACCGAUAGCGAAGGCAGCUCACUAGGCCUGGAUUGACGCUCAGGGACGAAAGCGUGGGGAUCAAACAGGAUUAGAUACCCUGGUAGUCCACGCUGUAAACGAUGAUUACUCGUUUUCGGCGAUAUACAGUCGGAGACUAAGCGAAAGUGAUAAGUAAUCCACCUGGGGAGUACGAUCGCAAGGUUGAAACUCAAAGGAAUUGACGGGGCCCGCACAAGCGGUGGAGCAUGUGGUUUAAUUCGAUGAUACGCGAGGAACCUUACCAGGGCUUAAAUGCAGAGCGAAUAGNUUUGGA